GGCCUACCAUGGUGGUAACGGGUAACGGGGUGUUAGGGCACGACACCGGAGAGGGAGCCUGAGAAACGGCUACCACAUCCAAGGAUGGCAGCAGGCGCGCAAAUUACCCAAUCCCGACACGGGGAGGUAGUGACAAUAAAUAACAAUACGGGGUUCUUUUGGAUUUCGUAAUUGGAAUGAGUACAAUUUAAAUCUCUUAACGAGGAACAAUUGGAGGGCAAGUCUGGUGCCAGCAGCCGCGGUAAUUCCAGCUCCAAUAGCGUAUAUUAAAGUUGUUGCAGUUAAAAAGCUCGUAGUUGAAUUUCGGGAUCAGCAGGUUGGUCGUGCCACUGGUAUGAACUGGCCUUGCUGGUUCCUCCUUCUUGAAGAACCGUGAUGCCAUUAAUUUGGUGUUGCGGGGAAACAGGACUGUUACUUUGAAAAAAUUAGAGUGUUUAAAGCAGGCUAACGCCUGAAUACAUUAGCAUGGAAUAAUAAAAUAGGACGUUUGAUCCUAUUUUGUUGGUUUCUAGGGUUGACGUAAUGAUUAAUAGGGAUAGUUGGGGGCAUUAGUAUUCAAUUGUCAGAGGUGAAAUUCUUGGAUUUAUUGAAGACUAACUACUGCGAAAGCAUUUGCCAAGGAUGUUUUCAUUAAUCAAGAACGAAAGUUAGGGGAUCGAAGACGAUCAGAUACCGUCGUAGUCUUAACCAUAAACUAUGCCGACUAGGGAUCGGAUGAUGUUAAUUUUUUAAUGACUCAUUCGGCGCCUUACG
rnacentral:rRNA from 1 species